rnacentral:rRNA from 1 species
GAUGAACGCUAGCUACAGGCUUAACACAUGCAAGUCGAGGGGAAACGACAUCGAAAGCUUGCUUUUGAUGGGCGUCGACCGGCGCACGGGUGAGUAACGCGUAUCCAACCUGCCCAUCACUUGGGAAUAACCUUGCGAAAGUAAGACUAAUACCCAAUGACAUCCCACGAAGACAUCUGAAUGGGAUUAAAGAUUUAUCGGUGAUGGAUGGGGAUGCGUCUGAUUAGCUUGUUGGCGGGGUAACGGCCCACCAAGGCAACGAUCAGUAGGGGUUCUGAGAGGAAGGUCCCCCACAUUGGAACUGAGACACGGUCCAAACUCCUACGGGAGGCAGCAGUGAGGAAUAUUGGUCAAUGGACGAGAGCCUGAACCAGCCAAGUAGCGUGCAGGAUGACGGCCCUAUGGGUUGUAAACUGCUUUUAUAAGGGAAUAAAGUGGGUCUCGUGAGACUUUUUGCAUGUACCUUAUGAAUAAGGACCGGCUAAUUCCGUG